rnacentral:tRNA from 1 species
CCUGGUGGCUCAGAUGGUAAAGAGUCUGCCUGCAAUGCAGCAGACCCAGGUUCGAUCCCUGCAUCAGGA